rnacentral:rRNA from 1 species
AGAGUUUGAUCAUGGCUCAGGACGAACGCUGGCGGCGUGCUUAACACAUGCAAGUCGAACGAGGUCCACGGUGUAGCAAUACACUUGAAGACCUAGUGGCGAACGGGUGCGUAACACGUGAGGAACUUGUCCCGGUCUCUGGGAUAACAGUUGGAAACGACUGCUAAUACCGGAUGACGUCGGAGCAUCGCAUGAUGCGCUGACGAAAGGGUUACUGGAUCGGGAGAGCCUCGCGGCCUAUCAGCUUGUUGGUGGGGUAACGGCCCACCAAGGCAUCGACGGGUAGCUGGUCUGAGAGGAUGAUCAGCCACACUGGGACUGAGACACGGCCCAGACUCCUACGGGAGGCAGCAGUGGGGAAUCUUGCGCAAUGGGCGAAAGCCUGACGCAGCAACGCCGCGUGCGGGAUGAAGGCUCUCGGGUUGUAAACCGCUUUCAGCAGGAAAGAAAAUGACGGUACUGCAGAAGAA